rnacentral:misc_RNA from 1 species
GUAGGUGAACCUGCGGAAGGAUCAUUAAAUUCAGUAGCUUGCUACUGUUAGGGGGGGUCUAUUAGUCUGUAUAGUAUCACUACUGAUGAGCAGCACGACCCUCUGUCUAUACCCUUGUCUUUUGCGCACUCAUGUUUCCUCGGCGGCUUGAUACCCGCCGGCUGGAUCAAUCUAUAACCUUUUUAAUUUUCAAUCAGCGUCUGAAAAACCUAAUAAUUACAACUUUCAACAACGGAUCUCUUGGUUCUG